ACAGGUGCUGCAUGGCUGUCGUCAGCUCGUGUCGUGAGAUGUUCGGUUAAGUCCGCUAACGAGCGCAACCCUCGCUGUGUGUUACAAGUGUCACACGGAACUGCCGGUCAUAAACCGGAGGAAGGUGGGAUGACGUCAAGUCGGCAUGGCCUUUAUAUCCUGGGCUACACACACGCUACAAUGGGAAGGGACAAUAGGUUGCGAAGCCGCGAGGCGGAGCCAAUCCAGCAAAACUUCCCUCAGUUCAGAUUGCAGGCUGCAACUCGCCUGCAUGAAGUUGGAGUUGCUAGUAAACGCAGGUCAGCCAUACUGCGUUGAAUACGUUCCCGGGGCUU
rnacentral:rRNA from 1 species